rnacentral:sRNA from 1 species
GUGUGAAGAAGAAGAAGAAGAAGAGACGGACAAGUCUGUGGUUAAUGGGAUCGAGGCUUGUUUGUAUUCAUCAGAAGCUAUGAUAUGCGUGAGAGUUUGUGGGGUUUACAUAGAUAGACAGAUUCAGUGAACUGUCUCGUACUGCAUUGUGACCCUCUCCCUAAUUAAUGAUCUUCUUCUUCUUCUUCUCCUUCUCCUUCAUCUUCUUCCUCUUCACAUGACGUGACUAACCAAAAAAGCUGCUCCUCAAUUUUCAUUAUAACUUCGUCUUCUUCUGUAUUAAUUUCUCUUUGGAUUCUAAUCAUAAGUCAAAGC